UAUGAUAGAGUGAGUGCCUGCGGC
rnacentral:piRNA from 3 species